ensembl:lncRNA
GAAGAUCCCACGUGCCAGAGAGCGACUAAGCCCGUGCUUCACAGCUACCGCACCAGUGAGCUUAGACGAGAGAAGCCAGCUCCGUCACGAGAAGCCUGAGGACACGGCAGCAAAGAGCGGCCCCCACUCACCACAACUGGAGAAAGCCUGUACACGGCAGGGAAGACCCAGCCAAAAUAAAUAAAUAAAUAAAUACAGAGGAGGCAAGGAUUCCCUGGCAGUUCAGUGGUUAAGAAUGCGUCUGUCAAUGCCAGGGACAUGGGUUCGAUCACUGGUUCAGGGAGAUGCCACACGCCUUGGGGCAACGACGGCCGUGUGCCACGGCUCCUGGGCCUGUGCCCUAGAGCCCCAUGAGCUGGCGUGCCCCUAGAGCCUGUGGUCCGGAAUAAGAGAAGCCACCUCCACGAGAAGUCCGAGCAGCAACCAGAGAGGAGCCCCCACUCGCCGCAACUAGAGAAAGCCGGUGCACAGCCAGGAAGACCCGGUGCGGCCAAAAUAAAUAAACAAAUAGAAGAAACCCAGAGACAGAACCGCUCAGAGAGGGUCGCCAGUCACGGUAUCACUUCACGUGUCUGGUUGGAGACGCAAGAUUCCACCUCCACUGGGAGAAAUGUCAAGGUCACAGCGUGGAAAGGGGACGCGUCCUUGGAGGAUGCAAUGUGUCAGGACAGCCACCCGAGGAGCCUGGCCCCAGGGCCCUGCAGCUGUGGCGUUUUAUCAUCUGGAGCUGGAACUGUGACCUG